CGGCUAGAUUCUCCAAGAUUAGACCGUACAUAUUUCUUUAGGCAAGAAGGAAUUAUCCUGCCUAAUCUACUGAAAACACAUAUGAUUUACCCUCUCCAAAAGUAACUUGGUAAAAAUCUAGUCCUUCAUAAAAUGUGCAUCUAAUAAAUAUCUAAAAAUUUUCA